AUUGAACGCUGGCGGCAGGCUUAACACAUGCAAGUCGAGCGGAGCGGCGGACGCGGGAGUAUUGCUUAGGAAUCUGCCUGGUAGUGGGGGAUAGGGUCCGGAAAUGGGCGCUAAUACCGCAUACUAUCAGAUUAGCCUAGGUCGGAUUAGCUAGUGGGUGGGGUAAGGGCCUACCAAGGCGACGAUCCGUAACUGGUCUGAGAGGAUGAUCAGUCACACUGGAACUGAGACACGGUCCAGACUCCUACGGGAGGCAGCAGUGGGGAAUAUUGGACAAUGGGCGAAAGCCUGAUGCAGCCAUGCCGCGUGUGUGAAGAAGGUCUUCGGGUUGUAAAGCACUUUAAGUUGGGAGGCGUUACCAACAGAAUAAGCACCGGCUAACUACGUGCCAGCAGCCGCGGUAAUAC
rnacentral:rRNA from 1 species